rfam:Zymomonas mobilis subsp. mobilis ZM4, complete genome.
AGAAAGUGCCUUUCAGGCAUCCUCUCCUAAUACUACGGUCGGUCGUUAAGACCGACCUUUUUUUUAUUCUGA